rnacentral:rRNA from 1 species
CAGCAGCCGCGGGAAUACGAAGGGGGCUAGCGUUGUUCGGAAUCACUGGGCGUAAAGCGCACGUAGGCGGAUUUUUAAGUCAGGGGUGAAAUCCCGAGGCUCAACCUCGGAACUGCCUUUGAUACUGGGAAUCUGGAGUCCGGGAGAGGUGAGCGGAACUGCGAGUGUAGAGGUGAAAUUCGUAGAUAUUCGCAAGAACACCAGUGGCGAAGGCGGCUCACUAGCCCGGUACUGACGCUGAGGUGCGAAAGCGUGGGGAGCAAACAGGAUUAGAUACCCCUGUAGUCCCUGUCUCUUAUAC